GUGCUCGCUUCGGCAGCACAUAUACUGAAAUCGGAACAACACAGAGAUUAACAUGGCCGCUGCGCAAGGAUGACACGCAAAUUGGUGAAGCGUUCCACAAUUUU
ensembl:snRNA U6 U6 spliceosomal RNA